AUGGAUUUUGCAAAGACACGCAUAAAGGAAGCUUUGACACAUAAGCCAAACCUCCUAGGUCAAGUGGUAGCUAUUGUUGAUAAGAGGUGGGAUAAUCAGAUGGAACAAAAGCUACAUGGGGCUGCUUUCUUCUUGAACCCAAAUAAAUUCUUUGCCAUUAAGGAGUCCAACAAAAGACAAGCCUCCCGUCUCCGUUCAAUGUUCAAUGAUGUGCUAUGGAAGAUGGUGCCCGAUGAUGAGCAGCAAACAACUAUAAGUAGGGAAGCUGACGACUAUGAGCUGGGGAGUGAAUGUUUCUCGAAGCCAUUGUCAAUUAAAGACCGUGACAAAAAAAGCCCUCGUAAGUAUAAAUUUUAUGGCAACUUGUGUCUUCUUGUUCAGCUCAAUUACUCCAUUAAUUGUUGGUUAUUGUGGCCUUCUCUUUAA
rnacentral:rRNA from 1 species